CCCUGGCAGCGCCCUUUUUAUUCCUCUUUUGUUGAUAUAUGCAAUAUAUAGUGGGCCGGCCCGAUUACAGUUAAUGCUUUAGCAAGAGCAAAAGUUGUCGUCUUGCUUAAAGGGCGCUCAUAGGCCCCGGCGCGUCGGCCGAACAGUUAGGCCGAUUAAGCGUUCGAUUCAGCAAAUUUGACCCGUUUGAUCUGGGUCUCGUAAUAGAAAAGAAAAGUGCAUCGUCGCUCCUCUUUUGAUCUCGGUUCCUCCUUCCUCGUGGAAACGCAGCGCUGCUGUCGUGGCCUGCAGCAACCGCUCGUGUCUCGCGGUCACCGCCCCUCACCACCGCUGUUUCCUGUGUUUCUCGCCGGCUCCGUGCAUGCAGUAGCGUGUCCCCGUAGUUGCAGCUCCCCGUGAUGACGGUCGCAACUCUGGUGGCGGCGGGCGCAACUUUGGCGUGAGUCGGUUGCAGGUCGCAGCACCUCCUCCGACAAGCUCGUAGAAGAAACUGUACUCUCCCUCAGGUUGCCGGUAGCAGCAAAAAAAUCAGCCGGUUGUAGCAAAAAAGGGAUCGGUUCCAAAAAAAAUAAAGCUUGCCGGUGCCGCAUGUGGUCGCCAUUGUAGCAACAUUUCCAUGGCCUUCCCCAGAUGUAUCAAUUGUAAACACCAUAGUAGUGAAAAACUACAACGGUUACAGCAAAAAUACAUCGUCACGGGUGUCGGCGCGUCAUGAAAAAUAAAUGUAACAAUUGACAACGCGAAUAGUAGCAAAACUCAAAACGGUCGUAGCCAAAAAGUGGUAGACUAUUUCCACCAAACAAAGACAUGUAGCAAUUUCUUUGAUUGGUUCGAGCACUAACUAAAGAUGGUGGUACCAAAAUGGGUACACUGGUUACACCAAAGAAAAAAUGAUGGUAGCAAAUUUUGCGAUAGUUCCAGCAAAAAUUGAAGAUGGUGGUAGCAGAUUGGUACAUUGGUUCCAGCAAAACACACAACACGGUAGCAAAAAAAUGACUGCUUCCAGCAAAAAGUGAAGACGAUGCUAGCAAAAAUCGGGGCUGCUUGCUGCAAAAAACUCGCCGGAUCUCGAGCACUUUUCGCCCUGAACGUUGGUCGCCGCGGGUCUCUGACACUUAUCGCCACCGUCUCCAGCACCCGUGGCUGCUGUUUACAGCACUUGCCGCCAUCGUCUUGAGUAUUGUAGCUGCCGUCCCGGCACCACAUAGCAUCUGUCCCAGCACCAGGCGGCGCCGGUCCUAGCUCCGACACCGGCGCUCGGUUGCUCCUGGGAGGCAGGGAUAAAGGAAUGGAGGUGAGAGAGGGGAAUUUGCAGCAGCGUGCGGUGCCAACGGCGCCCAGAUUGAUCUAUCACGAGGGAAGUUGGGGUGUGAGGAGAGGAUAAGAGCGAUAAGCGUGGAAGGAACGAGGCGAAUUCUUCAGAUCGUAACAGAUAGGAUGACGUGUGUGUGGUCCACUGGAAAUGUG
rnacentral:rRNA from 1 species